GUGACAGAGCUGGAGAGUGAAGUCCUCUAAUAAUCCACAGCACAGGUAGCGCACUGGCGGCAGCAUGGGGUGCUUCCCUCCCUGCUGCCGCAUCAAUUGGGCCUCACCCGUGACAUGGAGAGACCAUCUCUGGUGGUGAGGGGAGAGCGUAGGCUCCAAGGACCGUUCUUUCCACCUCUCUC
rnacentral:sRNA from 1 species